rnacentral:rRNA from 1 species
GAUGAACGCUGGCGGCGUGCUUAACACAUGCAAGUCGAACGAAGCACUUUGAUUUCUUCGGAUUGAUGAGUGACUGAGUGGCGGACGGGUGAGUAACGCGUGGGUAACCUGCCUCACACAGGGGGAUAACAGUUAGAAAUGACUGCUAAUACCGCAUAAGACCACAGUACCGCAUGGUACAGUGAUAAAAACUCCGGUGGUGUGAGAUGGACCCGCGUCUGAUUAGCUAGUUGGUGAGGUAACGGCCCACCAAGGCGACGAUCAGUAGCCGACCUGAGAGGGUGACCGGCCACAUUGGGACUGAGACACGGCACAAACUCCUACGGGAGGCAGCAGUGGGGAAUAUUGCACAAUGGGCGAAAGCCUGAUGCAGCGACGCCGCGUGAAGGAUGAAGUAUUUCGGUAUGUAAACUUCUAUCAGCAGGGAAGAAAAUGACGGUACCUGACUAAGAAGCCCCGGCUAACUACGUGCCAGCCGCCGCGGUAAAAC